AUGAUUUUUUUACAGACAACACAGGUUUAAACUGGUCUAAACUAAGAUAAACCAAUGACAGAAGUAUAUUGAAUGUCAUCUGUUGUCUAGCUUAAUUUAACCCAGAUUGUAUUUAAUGUAAUUUGUUAGCUUGCUGCAUCUUAAACUUUAACCUUCCAGACAUCUUUGAGAUGCCAUAGCUUUAUUUAUUUCUUUCAAAUUAUGUAAAAGGUCAUAAUGUUAGCAUGUCCCUUUGGGGAGAAGAACUUAUUUUUUCUCUCUUUAACAAUAAAAUUAAAGCAUUCUCCAAGUAUGUUUUUACUUAAAGUCCUUGUUUACAUGCGUAACUGCCAGAGCAGCACAUCAACAGUUUUUAGCUUUGUGCUACAAAUUCAAAAUGUCACACGUUAACACUGAUGAAAGCUCACUUUCUCCUAACAAAAUAAUAUUGCACUUAACAUCCUUGCACACCAGCCGCCAUUAUUCUCACACUUAAUCUAUAUUUACUGACAUCCUUGCCUGUUGCAUUCACACAGAUGUAGUUUAUCCUCAUACAGAAACAUCAGUAAGAAAGUCAUCUUAAAAAAACAGGGGGGCUAGAAAUGACACUAAUUUUCAAAAGGAAAUAUUCUACACUAUACUUGUACAAAUCUCAGGGUUUUUUCAAGUGCUAUA